rfam:Cladophialophora psammophila CBS 110553 aczJe-supercont1.7, whole genome shotgun sequence.
GACACUAUGGCCGAGCGGUUAAGGCGUGUGACUAGAAUUUAUUCCCGAAAUCACAUCUCUUCGGAGGCGUCGGUUCAAAUCCGACUGGUGUCG